rnacentral:rRNA from 1 species
UACGUAGGGGGCAAGCGUUGUUCGGAAUUACUGGGCGUAAAGGGCGCGUAGGCGGCACGGCAAGUCAGGAGUGAAAGGCCUGGGCUCAACCGAGGAACUGCUUUUGAGACUGCCGAGCUAGAGUGCGGAAGGGGCAACCGGAAUUCUUGGUGUAGCGGUGAAGUGCGUAGAUAUCAAGAGGAACACCUGAGGUGAAGACGGGUUGCUGGGCCGACACUGACGCUGAUGCGCGAAAGCCAGGGGAGCAAACGGG